GGAAAAGUGGCUGAGCGGUUUAAAGCGAUGGUUUGCUAAAUCAUUUUUAUGUAAUUACAUAAACAUGGGUUCAAAUCCCAUCUUUUCCA
rnacentral:tRNA from 1 species